rnacentral:rRNA from 1 species
GAUUAACGCUGGCGGCAUGCCUAAUACAUGCAAGUCGAACGAAAGUAGCAAUACUUUAGUGGCGAACGGGUGAGUAACACGUAUUUAACCUACCUUUUAGGAGAAUAACUGUUGGAAACGAUAGCUAAUACCGCAUAUGUUAUUUAUUUGCAAUAAUAAAUAAUGAAAGGAGCAUUUGCUUCGCUAAUUGAUGGGGAUGCGGCGCAUUAACUAGUUGGUAAGGUAAUGGCUUACCAAGGUAACGAUGCGUAGCCGAUCUGAGAGGAUGAACGGCUACAUUGAGACAUGGCCCAAACUUCUACGGAAGGCAGCAGUAGGAAUUUUUCACAAUGAGCGAAAGCCUGAUGGAGCAAUGCCGCGUGACUGAUGAAGGUCUUCGGA